GCGUAGAUGAUCUGCCUUUCGGUUGGGGAUAGCCCAUGGAAACAUGGGGUAAUACCGAAUAAGAUCCUUUUGCUUUGGCGAGAGGAUGAAAGGGGCUUCGGCCUCGCCGGGGGAUGAGUCUGCGUAUGAUUAGCUAGUUGGUGGGGUAAAGGCCUACCAAGGCGACGAUCAUUAGCCGGCCUGAGAGGGUGACCGGCCACAUUGGGACUGAGACACGGCCCAGACUCCUACGGGAGGCAGCAGCUAAGAAUCUUCCGCAAUGGGCGCAAGCCUGACGGAGCGAUGCCGCGUGGAUGAAGA
rnacentral:rRNA from 1 species